rnacentral:tRNA from 1 species
GUAGUGGUUGUUCAGUGGUAGAAUUCUUGCCUUCCAUGUGGGAGACCCAGAUUCAAUACCUGGCCAAUGCG